UUUCCCUAAUUCUCCCAUCUUUCUUGGCUUGCUUUCACUCCUUUGCUUCCUCUACUGCCUCCUCCCUUCCAUGUGGCACAGGAGAUGGGGAGCAGGUGUUGCAGUCAGCCCAUAAGAGUUCCUCUCUGCUGCUUCUUCCGCUAAACACUUUUCAGAUAUGUGCAAAGGACGGAAAAGUAAUAAAUCUAUGCUCAUGCAGCAGGAGAGGCAGACCACUGCAUACCUGGACUUCCCACCAUGAUCAACUCCCUGGGCCAUUUCUCCUCAGCAGCUUUUGACUCUGGUAAGCAAAGCUUGAAAUCUGCAGAAGCACAACUCUCUUUAUCUUGAAGCAAUAACAUGUACAAGACAAAACCAUGUUCUGCUGCUGAAACACAUAUAUGAAGAGUUUCUUCAUGCACUUUAUGUGCACUUGUCCUGGGAAAUUGUGGUUGGCCUGGUGUGGCUGAGGACAGCACUGGCACUCCCAAAAGGAUGGAAGAUAAAAACUGCUAAGUGACUGGACUCGUAUCCUAGAGAUGUUGUUCUUGAGCUGAAUGACCUGUCAAGCCUGGGGAGUGUAUUUUAUAGCUUUGUACACAAAAGGACUCAUGAGCAUUACCCCAUCAAACUCAUAAUUGGGUGUAAAAGAGCAGGAAGAGAAAAGAGGAGAAAACACGGGAAAGGAAAUAAAAAAGGAGGACAAAGGAAGAAUGUGUCCUCUUGAGGAGGGGGAGUGAAAAAGCAUAUUGGUAGGAGUCAGGCUGCAGUCUGAAGCUAAUCCACCACACAUAGCAAAACAGAGUCCCAGGCAGCCUGCAAGUAUUCCUUAUAUUUUUACGUGAUGAAGCUACAUGCUGAUGGGGGUCUGUCUGAUGAAGCAAAGUCAGCACAGAGGUUCCCAGACUGGCAUGAUGUUAUGCACAAGAGCACUGGAAAAGGUCUCCACCAGCCACAACGAUGUAAGCUCUUGUUAAGGGAGACAUAACUUGCUACUGGGAACCAAGGAUCUGACUUGAACUUCAACUUAGUGCAAGAUUUUGGCCAGCAUAUCCCAUUGAGGCCCAGGAACACAUGCUUUGCAGCAGCUGAUCUUUCAGGAAAACAACAAUUUUGAUGACACCCAGAGAAAGAGAGCCUACCGCUUCCUUUAAUAAUAUAUAAUAAUAGUAAUUAAUCUCACUGUUUAAAGGUGUGUUCUUUAUUUAAAUCUGUCUUUAUUUCCUAUUUUUUGACCGUGGUAAAUUUUCAUAUCUGACCACCUCUCAUAUUCAUCAGUAGACUGACACCAUCCUUUACCAGGUUAUCAUUCUUAAUGAUAAAAUAAAUGAUUUGCCAUAAGCAACAUAAUUCUAAAAACAGACAUUUAUGUAAUGUUAAUACUGCACUUAGAUCAAGAUCCUGAAAAUUCCUCUAUAGCUUCAAAUGCCAUCAUGAAAAUUCCCGAGUUCCAAUAAAAAAGAUUUUAUUUUCCUCCAGGUAAAAGAAAAAAAAUAUAUUCCUGUGUCAUAUAACUAAUAUCAUCCUUAAAGAGAUGCAAAGUUAAUGUUGGAAGUACAGCAUAAGAAUCAGUUUCUGAACAAAACCUUCAAAGCUUCAUUCUUUGCAUGAUUCUUAUUGUAUAAUAUAAAUAUAUAUUAUAUAUUUAUUAUAUAUAUAAUAAUAUACAUGAUAUAUAUUAUUAUAUAUAUUGUAUAAUAUAAAUAUAUAUUACCAGAAAGCUGAGAUUUUGCUUUAGAUAAUAACUAAAUAAAAAUGAGAAAAAUCCAAGGUGUGUUCAUAACACUGACUGCACAUCUGUUGCAAAAGUUAAAAUAUAAUUUCGCAGGUGAUUUUGUAUUAGAGAUGCAAGAUGAGCUAUGUGACCUGGGCAAGCAAGGCAAAAUGCAAUGUUCAGCAGUGAUUAUCUUUAGGAAGAAGAAUCCAUGGCAUUUGAAUGAAAACAUACACGAGUUUUUUCAUUCAUAUAAACAUAUACAUGUUUAUAUAUGUAUAUAAAACCAAGACUGGCAAGGUUGGAGGAAUAUGUGUAUGAGCCAGAGGGUAUGCAUGUAUGUGCACAUAAAAAAUGCAGUGAAAUGAAAUGAAAUAAAUAAAAUUAAAUUAAGAAGAGCUAAGCCGUGUGUCAAAAUUUCCUGAAGUUGAUUUCUGUCACACCAGCUUCUCAAGUAGAAGGGGAGUAUUUAGGCAGCUUUACUCUCCCUAAGCACCAGCAGUUCCACCAAAUAAAGCAAAAAAGACAUUUUAAUCACCAGUGGUUUGUCACAAUCUUUGGUUUCUUUUUGUCCUCUAAAUGUAUAUCAUGUUAUUUCAGAUCCUUAUCAUUCACAUGUCAUCUACAGUUUCCCACAGAAUUAUAAAAGCUUUAUCUCAUUCACUGUCACUGUCAUCUAACUCAGGGGGCUGUCUGCCUUGGGAACAAUUGGCUUUACUAAGAUUUAGGCCAAAAGACA